CUUCCGUAGGGUGGAACUGCGGAAGGAUCAUUACGAAAUUCGGCGCGCUUCGGCGCUGCCUUAUUCACCCACCCUUUGUCUACGUGUACCUCUAUAGCUUCCUCGGCGGGCUCGCCCGCCGCCAGGAACCCACGAAACCCCUUGCAUUAUACACGAAAACUUCUGAUAACAAACCUAAAUUAUUACAACUUUCAACAAUGGAUCUCUUGGUUCUGGCAUCGAUGAAGAACGCAGCGAAAUGCGAUAAGUAGUGUGAAUUGCAGAAUUCAGUGAAUCAUCGAAUCUUUGAACGCACAUUGCGGCCAUAGGUAUUCCUUUGGCCAUGCCUGUUCGAGCGUCAUUUACACCCUCAAGCCUAGCUUGGUGUUGGGCGUCUGUCCCGCCGUUUUCGCGCGCGGACUCGCCUCAAAGUCAUUGGCGGCGGUCGUGCCGGCUCCUCGCGCAGCACAUUUGCGCUUCUCGGAGGCCCGGCGGAUCCGCGCUCCAGCAAAGACCUUUCAUGACUGACCUCGGAUCAGGUAGGGAWCCC
rnacentral:rRNA from 1 species